GGAUUAGAUACCCUGGUAGUCCACGCCGUAAACGAUGAGAACUAGCCGUUGGUUAGGUUUACUAAUCAGUGGCGCAGCUAACGCGAUAAGUUCUCCGCCUGGGGAGUACGGCCGCAAGGUUAAAACUCAAAUGAAUUGACGGGGGCCCGCACAAGCGGUGGAGCAUGUGGUUUAAUUCGAUGCAACGCGAAGAACCUUACCUACUCUUGACAUCCUCGGAAUCCUCUAGAGAUAGAGGAGUGCCUUCGGGAAUCGAGUGACAGGUGCUGCAUGGCUGUCGUCAGCUCGUGCCG
rnacentral:rRNA from 1 species